rnacentral:rRNA from 1 species
UAGAGGGGUGCUCGAAAGAGAGCCGUUAACACAGGUGCUGCAUGGCUGUCGUCAGCUCGUGUCGUGAGAUGUUGGGUUAAGUCCCGCAACGAGCGCAACCCUUGUCAUUAGUUGCUACAUUCAGUUGGGCACUCUAAUGAGACUGCCGGUGACAAGCCGGAGAAGUGGGGAUGACGUCAAGUCCUCAUGGCCCUUAUACGUGGGGCUACACACGUCAUACAAUGGCUGGUACAAAGGGUUGCCAACCCGCGAGGGGAGCCAAUCCCAUAAAGCCAGUCGUAGUCCGGAUCGUAGUCUGCAACUCGACUACGUGAAGUCGGAAUCGCUAGUAAUCGUGGAUCAGAAUGUCACGGUGAAUACGUUCCCGGGUCUU